rnacentral:rRNA from 1 species
UACAGAGGGGGCAAGCGUUGUUCGGAAUUACUGGGCGUAAAGGGCGCGUAGGCGGCCUUCUAAGUCAGACGUGAAAUCCCUCGGCUCAACCGGGGAACUGCGUCUGAGACUGGAAGGCUUGAAUCCGGGAGAGGGAUGUGGAAUUCCAGGUGUAGCGGUGAAAUGCGUAGAUAUCUGGAGGGACACCGGUGGCGAAGGCGGCAUCCUGGACCGGUAUUGACGCUGAGGCGCGAAAGCCAGGGGAGCAAACGGG